rnacentral:rRNA from 1 species
UUAGGCGGUUUCAGUUCUGUCGUGGGGUGGUGGGUUAAAUUCCGCAAAGAGCGCAACCCUUGUCGUUUGGUGGUCAGCAAGAGCACUUUAAGAAUAUUACCGGAGACACACCGGAGGAAGUGAGGGAGGAGGUCAAGUCGUCAUGUCCUUUAGGGCUAGGGGUUCACGGGUCCUCCAAUGGUCGGGACAGAGGGUCGCCAACCCGCGAGGGGGAGCCAAUCUCAGAAACCCUAUAAUCGUUUGGAUGGCAGUAUGCAACUCGACAACUUGAAGUCGGAAUGGUGGGUAAUCGCGUAUCAGAAUGUCGCGAAGAAUACGUUGCCGGGUUUUGUACACACCGCCCGUCACACCAUCGAGCCGGUUUCACCGGAAGUACGGUAGCGCAUCUAACAAGGAGGGCGCUACUCA